rnacentral:rRNA from 1 species
GGGCAUCCCGGAGGCAGGAAAGGCUUCGGCCGGACAGGGAUGGGCAUGCGGCGCAUUAGGCAGUAGGCGGGGUAACGGCCCACCUAACCGACGAUGCGUAGGGGUUCUGAGAGGAAGGUCCCCCACACUGGUACUGAGACACGGACCAGACUCCUACGGGAGGCAGCAGUGAGGAAUAUUGGUCAAUGGUCGGGAGACUGAACCAGCCAAGCCGCGUGAGGGAUGAAGGUACAGAGUAUCGUAAACCUCUUUUGUCAGGGAACAAAGGCGGGGACGUGUCCCCGGAUGAGUGUACCCGAAGAAAAAGCAUCGGCUAACUCCGUGCCAGCAGCCGCGGUAAUACGGAGGAUGCGAGCGUUAUCCGGAUUUAUUGGGUUUAAAGGGUGCGCAGGCGGUCUGUUAAGUCAGCGGUCAAAGCCCGGGGCUCAACCCCGGCCCGCCGUUGAAACUGGCAGUCUCGAGUUGGAGAGAAGUAUGCGGAAUGCGCGGUGUAGCGGUGAAAUGCAUAGAUAUCGCGCAGAACUCCGAUUGCGAAGGCAGCAUGCCGGCUCCACACUGACGCUGAGGCACGAAAGCGUGGGUAUCGAACAGGAUUAGAUACCCUGGUAGUCCACGCAGUAAACGAUGAAUGCUGGCUGUCCGGGGGGAUUGACCCCUGGGUGGCGAAG